rnacentral:rRNA from 1 species
CCUACGGGGGGCUGCAGUGGGGAAUAUUGCACAAUGGGGGAAACCCUGAUGCAGCGACGCCGCGUGAGUGAAGAAGUACCUCGGUAUGUAAAGCUCCAUCUGCAGGGAAGAAAAUGACGGUACCUGACUAAUAAGCCCCGGCUAACUACGUGCCAGCAGCCGCGGUAAUACGUAGGGGGCAAGCGUUAUCCGGAUUUACUGGGUGUAAAGGGAGCGUAGGUGGGAUGGUAAGCCAGAAGGGAAAACCCGGGGCUCAACCCCGCGGAUUGCUUUUGGAACUGUCAGGCUGGAGUGCGGGAGGGGUAAGCGGAAUUCGUAGUGUAGCGGUGAAAUGCGUAGAUAUUAGGAAGAACACCGAUGGCGAAGGCAGCUUACUGGACAGAAACUGACGCUGAGGCUCGAAAGCGUGGGGAGCGAACAGGAUUAGAUACCCGGGUAGUC